GCAAACUCAAGAGCUUUCACUCCACACUUGCCCACACGUUUUUGCCUCCAAGCUUCCAAGCUUUCAAGUGCUCAAGUGUCCUAGCUUUCCAAAGCUUCAAAAGCUCUCCAACUUCUUCUUCUAAUCUUCUUGUUCAUCUUUACAAGUAAGAAGUGUUGUUUUCUUUAAUAUUCCACUCCUCUAAUCACCUCUUGUGUGUGUCCACUUUGGUUUAGAGGGUUGUCUCAAUAGUACCAAAGUGUGAGAGAAGGUUUUUGAGCUCAACCAUAAAGCUCUAGUUUGGUUUUAUAGAAUUUCCG
rnacentral:lncRNA from 1 species